UAGAUCGGAGUCGGCGACCCGAUGGGUAUGCCGAUUUCCCACAUCAUGGCUUCCGGGAUGACCGGGAUCAGAGCAGCAGGAGACCUUGUAGCAAGGAUGG
rfam:Methanosarcina sp. MTP4, complete genome.